rnacentral:tRNA from 2 species
CCCUGGUUAGCUCAGUUGGUAGAGCGCUCCACCUGUAAUGGAGAGGUCCCGGGUUCGACACUCGGACCAGGCG